ACUUGAGGUCUCAUCCUCACUCUGCAUCUAUUGGCAAAUAGAAAGUUUCUUCCUUAUGAUUGGACAGAGGGCUGUCAGUAAGACUAAGGCAAAAGCCAAUGGAACAGGUGGGGCGUUACUUGCCCCACCCUAGCCCUGAGCAGGUAAGACUCAUUAUUCUCCCCUUCCCCCUACCUGUCCAACAGGUGAGUCAGGGGGAAGCAUGGGAAAGGACUGACGCCUUCACUAGCCAGCCAACUCAGCGUCAGGAUUAUUCAUUCUUGCCUCAACAUAGUAAUAAGAUGUUUGUAAAGCAUUUCAUAGGCUUUGUGCUAGGUUGGGAUUUCUCCCCCUACAAAAGAUGGAGUGUUCCCGGUUCUCUUCUGUUUAGAAUUAGAAGGCCUGGUUUGGGUUCUCCCCUUAAUCUUUGUAUGACCUUAGGCCAGCUAGUAUACUUUUCACCCUGUAUCUAAGUGGGUUCAUUAGCUUUAUCUAUCUUGGGUUGGAGAGAUUAAAUAAACUUUGUAGCUUAAACAGCUGAGGAAUGUCAGUAUUUAAGCCAGUGAGAUGGUCCGUUCGAGACAGUUCUUAAAAAGUGCUGGAGCAGGCAGCCAGGCAGUGGUGACACGGGCCUUUAACCUUAACCUCGGCACUCAAGGAGGCAGAGGCAGGCAGCUCUCUGAGUUAGAGGCCACCCUGGUCUACAAAGAGGGUUCAAAAUGAUCCGCAUUAAGAGAAUCUUUAAUGGGCUUGUGUGAUGUCUCAGUUGGGCAAGUGUGAUGACCUGAGUUUGAUACCUGGUGGAGGUAGACCAAGUCCAAAAGGUUGUCCUCUGUCCCCUGAUCUCCCGCCUUGGCACAAGUGCCACACACAUAAAAGUAAAUACAGUGUAAUGCGAUUUUAAAACUAAGCUCCAGAGAUCGAAAGACUAGGAAAUGUGGUGCACUGUAAACUUGGACACCUUAUUUUAAGAACAGAAUGGUCAGUAUGUGUUUGUAGGGGUUCGGGCGGACGGUGGAUACCUCUCCAGGGAGACACAGACAAAGCGAUUCCGUCAAAGAUUAAAUCAUGAUGUAAAGAAGCUUUGGUGGGUUUGGGGGGGGGGUGGGGAAGCCAGUGGAUGGAAAGAAAAGGAGCUUGGUUCUAAACAAAAGCGGGCAGCAAGCCCUCCAUAGCGGGCAAGGCUGCUGAGCUAUCCAAAAGAACUCAAUAGGUAGCCUGAGAAGAUGUGGGUAUUUCUCCCUGCGGUUGAUGACUACUGUAGCGGCUGCAACAUGAACCAAGGGUCUGUAGGCAUUCAUUCGCUCAACGAGAGUACUGAGCACCAACUCUAUGCUGGGCGCCAGUGUAGACUUUGGCUGCACAGAUAAUUAAAAGUACCCUAACUCUCAGAGAGCUUACAGAGUGGCAAGAGGAAACAGCUUGUGUGGGUGGGAGUUGGGGGAGUGGCUGUUUAGAAAAGAAUUUCCUGAAAACACACGCGAGCGCGCGAGCGCGCGCGCGCGCACACACACACACACACACACACACACACACAUACACACACACACACACACACACACACACACACAUGCACGCACGCACACGAGAACUUAUGGGCUAAUAUAACUCCAGAUGAAGAUAUCCUAACAGUAUCUUUGACCACAUUACCCCAACAGAGAAAGGAACGAGGCUUAACUUGCUCUCUUCCAUCCAGUAAGUCUUCCUGGAAGGGAGAGGAAGAUUGCAGCAUCCCUGAUCUAGCUGUAGCUAUGUAUGUGCCAAGUUGCCAGGACCCCUCCACUCUGCUGUUUCCCUGCCAGCUUACCUGAGGGUCCUUAUCUCUACCUAAUCCAUGCCCCCACCUGCCACUUGCCACUCUCCACAGUGAUCAUCCCAGACUCACUGUCCCAAGCUGCUACCUCUGCCAGGGUUCCACCUUCACCCAUUCCUCCCACCCAGUCACACACCACUUCCAAGCUUUUCUCUGCUGCCUUUCUUCCUCCCUUCAGCCAACUCGCAGCAGGGGAAGGCUGGAGAGGGGAAUAGACUAGCCUAGGUGGUAUUGGAGGAAGGAUUUGGGGCUUCUGGAUAAACUCUGUGUGUCUGCAGAAGGGCACCCCUGCUUGUCUUAGCAUGUAACAAGCCACACGGCACGUUGUUGAGGCCAAAGCUAAACACCACCCCCCAACCCCGCAUGGAGGCUCCAAUGUAGAAAACAGAGCCAGUUCCUCCCAGAUGGAUGGAUUUCCUGUGUGUUUCUUAAUCGCCUACUAUGUGCCUGGUGCCUGCCAAGCACCAGGGCUUCAUCUGCAUCAGAGGAUAUGUAAAGGAAUCAGAAAAUAGUCGUUCCUGGAAUCUGUUCUUUUGCAUAGGGGAUUUGAUCUCCUGGAGGGAAGGGGGCACACAGGAGUGGAACUGGACAUUGCUGUGACCCUGUGACCAUGGUCUCCUUUGCACCUUGAACUUUAAGGAGAGGGCACAAGGGCAUCUAACCCAAUCUCCAGCUUCCCAGCCUUUAAAGAAAGCCCAAGCUGACCUUGAAGUUGCAACGUAGUUGAGCGUGAUCUCGAACUUUUGAACCUCCAUCUCCGGAGUGCUGGCUUUACAGUGUCAUACCUGGUUUACGUAGUACCGAGAAUGGAACUCAAGAGUUCUAUGCAAGAUGGGCAUCGCCCCCCCCCCACCAAGCUGGAUGAAUUUCUUUUUAAAGGAAAGAUGGAGACGAUGACCCCAAAUGGAAAACGUCAAGCUCCCUUGGCCUCUGCUUUUCUUACGACCUCAGAGAGUUCUUCCGGGUAGCCAAGGGGUCAAGCAUAUGUAUGUGGGAGGAAGGCAAGCAAAUAAGCACAACCUCACCUCAGUUUCCCCACCUGAGUCAUGGGCAGAAUAGGUGUUUCUAUACCAAGGGAUGUUUCAGAGGACAAGAGAGAUGCUAUCCAGGAGCCACUGGCGCCAGCUGUGACCCAGGGAGGUAGUGAUUAUGAGGUGAUCGGACCAUAGGUUGGGCCUGGGAUUUUGGUUUCGGCUGGGGCCGCUUGCUAUGGCUCCCAGCAUACUCCCAUGAAUCCCCAGUCAUCUUGGAACCUGAUCGUAAAAGGAAGCAGCCAGAGCCAUGUGCUAGUCCAGAUCAGACUUAGCUCUGGACCUGGAGACCAACCCAGACUCUUGGGGCCUCAGUUUCCCUAUUCAUGAAAUCAGGGCCAUUUUCCAGGGCUGACUUGGAGAGACUAUAAAAGAAGGUGUGGAGGGAGACCAGAGUUAGGAGACAAGGAUGAUGGCCCUGGGCCCUGUGGUCACCAGGUCUUUGCUAGGUAAAGUUAUUAGCUCCAGAGCCAGCCUGACAGGAUCAUUUGACAUGGAGAAAGUCCCCUUCUUUGUUCCAGAACUCUUGGAGACAGACAACAUGAGAUGAGACAUUAAGGGUUCGUCCCUUUUUUUUUUUUAAUUUUUAGAUUUAAAAGUUGUAUUAAAGUCGUGUUUUGUCUGCAAGUAUGUUUGAGUACCACAUGUGGGCAUUACCUGCAAAUGACAGAGUGGGGAGUCACAGACAAUUGUACUGAGCUGGUACGUGGGUGCUGGGAAUCAAACCCGGGUCCUCUGGAAGAACCGCCCGUGCUCUUAACUAUUGAACCAUCUCUCCAGAGUUUCCUUAAGGGUUCAUUCCAAGGCGGAUCCCUUCACAGUAGUCUGUCAGUACUAACAUUAAUUCCGUAAAGUGGAAACAGCAUCCCACUACUAGAGUGGCUAAAAAAAUAAUUAAUGUGCUUAGUUUUAUUUAUAUGAGUACAUUGUCGCCGUCUUCAGACACACCAGAAGAGGGCAUCAGAUCCCAUUACAGAUGGUUGAGAGCCACCAUGUGGUUGCUGGGAAUAGAAUUCAGGACUCCUGGGAGGGCAGUCAGUGCUCUUAACCACUGAACCAUCUCUCCAGCCCUCCAAAAAUUCUCUUCAGACUGAGAAAGGAAGUUACUGGAAUUUGGGAGCGCUAAUGGGACUCUUUUCUGCUGACCAUCACUCUCAGAAGUUAGAAAGCCUGUUUUCCUACAUGACCCCAAGAACUCUGUCCCAGGCCCCCCAAUAGGAGACCUACAUCCUCCAUGGGCCUGACACCAGGACUCUGUUCCUUUCCCUUUGUCUUCCUUACCUUGUUUUCUUCUCCUCUUCCCCCCUCCACUCUCCCUUUUCGAAUUCCUUGUAUCCUAACACAGUAGGUGUGUAACGGCCCAUUCUUCUCCUUGGUCCAGUGGACAACCUAAAGCCCAGGGCCUUUCCCUUCCAUCCGACCUUCCUUCAGAUCAUAACACUUCACUCUGAACAUCACUCCAGCACACCUAAAAUAAGGGGGCAGUUUUUUUUUUUUUUUGGUUCUUUUUUUUCUGGAGCUGGGGACCGAACCCAGGGCCUUGCACUUCCUAGGUAAGCGCUCUACCACUGAGCUAAAUCCCCAGCCCCAAGGGGGCAGUUUUAAGGGUAACAAUGAUCAAGUCUGGUACCUGGGAGGCACCCUGCACUACAGAGUUCUGCUUUUCUAAGGAUGAGAUCCAGUUUCUGGAUCCAGAACACUCACGUUGCAUCUCUUGAGUUUGGUCUGAUUGUGUGAGGUCACAGCCCAGUGUGUUUUGCUCAGCCCACACCUCCACCCAGCAUAUUGUUGAGAAUGGAAGAACUGGUGGGAUGUCAUGUCGUAGGAAGGCUGAGGAGAGGUGAGAGCAUGUGGACUGGGUGCGGCUGGGAGAAUGGGCUGGAGGGCCCACUCAGAGACUGGCUGGGAUUCUGUCUCACCGGUUUGGGGAGCCAGCCAGCCUGACAAUGGGAGAGGCUCACAUUAGGGAGAGAUGGGAGGGGCUGCUAGCUCCCUGAGAAAGGGGAGCUGAGUGAGACAUACUGCGAUUGGUCAAGGGCCUGGACAGGAUUCCUAGGGGUAGCUAAUAGGCACGUACACACACACACACACACACACACACACACACACACACACACACACUUGGAUGCACACUCAGCCACACGCAUGCACACUCAGAUGCAUACUCAAACAUAGUCACACAUGUCAUCUGAGACCCUUCUGCAUUCUGGGUCCCUCUUACCCAGCUCUAUUUUCUUUUUUUUUUUUUUUUCCGGAGUGGGGACCGAACCCAGGGCCUUGCGCUUGCUAGGCAAGCGCUCUACCACUGAGCUAAAUCCCCAACCCCUCCAGCUCUAUUUUCUUAUCUGAUAUAUCCAGUAUAAUUCAAUUUUUGUUUUUAGAUGGGGGUCUUCCUAUGCAGCCCUGGCUGGCCUGGAACUUGUGGUAAGAGUUCUUCUGCCUCCUGAGUCCUGGGAUACUAACAAUUUAUCUAAGAUCUCUUGCUCACCACCUGCCUCCAGUGGAACAGAACUCUGAGAGGGCGGGGUGACUGGCCUACUUUGCCCAGCAACCUGAAGCAUGCCUGAUAUGUAAAAGGUACUCAAUAAACGUGUGGAUCAAUGGAGCCCUCCCGAAACACAUCUGGGUACACAUGCAUAUCGACAGAGACAUACACACCGAAAGACAUUCUGGGCAACCUCAGACCUCUGCACACAAGUGCAUGCUCACACCGGGCACGCACACAUGCAUGCGCACACACACCUUUGCACUCUGAUCCACAGGCACUUUUCAGACCACACCCAGCAGUCCAGAUUCCAGAGCUGGUGCUCACAACAGCACACAUCUGUGCAGACAUGUUCAAGCACAUCCUGCUCCCUGCAGCAUGUGGUGCCAGACCUGGAAGGCAGCCCCUCCCUGCAGCAGGGGGUGAGCCACUAGAUGCUGACAGUGCAACAGCCUGGGUGAGAGAGGGUGGGCAGAGCCAUCCCGGUACCUGAUGCUGCCAGGAAACCACUCUGGACUCCCUAUGAUAGAGACGAAGGUUACAGGGAAGCUACCUAUCCGGAACCCAGUUCUACCUCUAAAGGCCAACAGACUUGGACCAGAGCCUAGGAGAGAGACAGAUGGGACAUCAGUCUUCUAGGGCACAAAGGUGUGUGAGUCCCAGGAUUGGCCAUCUGGCACCUGGGAGCAGGGAGGGGUAGCAAUGAGAACUACGUGCCCUUCCCUGGGUCAACUCCACUCUCCACCAUAGAGGCCUCUGCCUGCUGAGAAUUGUCGAGGUGUAGAGUUAGAACUGUCACCUUCUUGAUCUUGAUCCUGUGUUCCUCUUGAAAGUGCCCUUCUGUCCCUAAUUCUACAAUGGGAUGGUGGUAGGGGCAGUAGUUACUAAGACAAUAUUUUUGCCCCCACUCCUCCAGACUCCUGUGCCCCAGAACCAAUGCAAGUUUGGACAAGUGACCUCUGGCUGUCCCUCUGCAUUUCAAGAAGUCCAAAGCUGUCCGUCAAAUGAUAUCCUCGGGGCUUCUCUGGCUACUGAGCUGGGGUUCCCACAAUGGCCAGCCUGGGCAUGCUCGCUCUAAUUCUAGGGAAAUACCAGGAAAGAAAAACAUGUAGUAAAUGUCUUUAAUUCCCUCUUCAUAUCCCUCUAAGUCCCGAGAAGAGUGGCCUGGGACGAGAAAAAUACAGACAUCCCUGAUUAGAAAUCUGAAACCACCAUCUUCAUGGAAUACUGUGUCUUCACGCCCCCUGGUGGUAGGUCUGAGGUUCCUCCCAGCUAACAGGGAUUCUGCAGCUCUCAAUUGGAUGCCAGUAAAGGACCUGCCAAGGCCAUAGAGUACACCAACUGGCAUUGCACAGAUAAGGGGAGAUUAGCAGCGAGAGUGAGGCAAGGCCCUGCACCCACAAAUCUCAGUCUUGCCGACUAGCCUCAGGCGUUAUGAUUCAUUCAACAAUAAACAUUUACUGAGCACCAGAGCUCUAAGCCCGACGUUCUUCACAACCCACUCUGCAGCUCAGACAGGCCUUGGUCCUGUGAGACUCAAGCCGGAAGCUGAGGAGUUCCACAGGAGCAGAAAGGGGGGGUUAGGACCCCCAAUAGCUCACUUGCCAACCAGCAAUAUGGCCACCAGUCUGCAGGUUCAAGGACACACAGAGAGAGGUAAGGUAGAGUCUGGGUGGGAACUAGGCCAACCGUGUCCCUUUUGAGGUUUUCCCUUUUGUUUUAUUUUGAGACAGGCUCUUACAACAUAGCCUCGACUGGCCUGGAACUCACUACAUGAGGCUAGCCUGGAACCCGCAGAGAUCCCCCUGCCCCUGCAUCCCAACUGCUGGAAUUGAAGGCGUGCGAUGCCACACGCAGUUGUUUUUGUUUUGAAACAAGAUCUCGCUGUGUAGCCCGAACUGACCAGGUUCUCACUGUAAACCGGUCUGGCCGGGAAGUCAAGAGAUCCUCCUGCUUCUGCUUCCCCCGCGUGCCAGGGUGAAAGGUGUGUGCUACCACACCUGGCGAUUUUAAGUUUUUUUUUGUUUUUUUUUUUCUUUCGGAGCUAGGGACCGAACCCAGGGCCUUGUGGUUGCUAGGCAAGUGCUCUACCACUGAGCUAAAUCCCCAACCCCGAUUUUAAGUUUUAAUAAAUAGUUCCUGCCCCCAGCCAGGUGUCCUGAGCUUGAAGAGUGCACCAUGUCACUGUCUUAGGCCAGUUCAGGCUCUGGCUCUGAAAAAGAAAGAGAGAACAAGAGUUAGUCCUGCCUAUUCCAACUGGUGUCUGAGCACCGCCCUAGCAGAAGUGUCGGCUGCACCCUAGAGCAGGGAGACAGCACCCACCUGCACACCACUGGCAGCAUAGCCCAGGGAGAAAACCCUGUCCCCAGUGCCCAUCCCAAGCUGUGUUCCUAUCCCUUCAGCACGAUCCAGUACUGACCAGCCUCAUCCUCAUCACCCUUGGCAUCCGGCUCCUGCCACCAGUCCGCAUAGAGGCCCUCCUCAUAGUCGCCCUCGCCUUCGAACUCGGCAUCAGACAGAGGUUUUUCAGGCUCCGGAAGUGAUUCCGUCUCCUCCAGUUCC